rnacentral:lncRNA from 1 species
GGCACCAUUAAUUCACAGAGAAAGGAAAUGCCAGAAGAGCAGAAGAUUUGGGAAAGCCCAUGAAGGAAAGAGAAGAAGGCAGUGAUCGUUUUAAAGAGAAGAGCAGGGAGAGACAUGCAGAGGUAAGACAAGGAACCACAAAGCUCAGGGCUACCCCUAUGAUGC